CUAAAGUUUUAUUCUGACUUAAAACUUGGGUUUAAUUUUAUAUUACAUGCAAGCAUAAGCGUUGUGUCUAAAUUUAGAUAAUUUGGGGUUAUCUAUUUGCAGUGGGGAAAUUUAAAUAUCAAUGAUAGUUGGAUUUAGGGAUAAUUAAUUAAUAUUGACAAAAUUUGUGCCAGCAGUUGCGGUUACACAAGUAAUAUUACUCAAGUUUUUCGGUUAUAGUUAGCUUGGCAGUUUACUUAAAAAUGUAAUUUAUGGGGUGAAAUCUUAAUUUACAGUAAGGUAGAUUGGGGUGAGUAAAGCUAAGAAAUUCUUAAUAAAACUAGGAUUAGAUACCCUAUUAUUAGGUAUGUGAAGUUGGAUGCUGGAUUAGUAGUAGUUAUGUUCUUGAAAAUUAAAGAUUUUGGCGGUAUCUUAGUCCAUUCAGAGGAACCUGUCCUAUAAUCGAUGGUCCACGAUUUUAUUAACUUUUUUUAUUAGUUUAUAUAUCGUCGUAGUUUGAAUAUGCUUAUUAGGUUGAAAAUGUUCAAGAUUCCUAUUAAGGAGGGAAAUCAGAUCAAGAUGUAGCUUAUAAAAAAGUAGAGAUGGGUUACAUUAAAUUUAUUUUAUGGGAUUUGUAUAUUUAGAUAUAUGAUGAAUAUGGAUUUGAGGGUAAUUUUAUUUAAAUAAAUAAGAUGAUUAAGGCUCUAAGGUAUGCACAUAUCGCCCGUCGCUUUCACUUUAAAGUGAAAUAAGUCGUAACAUAGUAGGCCUACCGGAAGGUGGGCCUGGGUAGAC
rnacentral:ncRNA from 1 species